UCCGUAGGUGAACCUGCGGAGGGAUCAUUACGAGUUCACAACUCCCAAACCCCUGUGAACAUACGUAUAAAAUUGCCUAGAAGGAUCAACCCGCGACCAGUAAACCGGGAAAAACCCAAACAGAGGAACCAAACUCUAAUGUUUCUUAUUGUAACUUCUGAGUAAAACAAACAAAUAAAUCAAAACUUUCAACAACGGAUCUCUUGGUUCUGGCAUCGAUGAAGAACGCAGCAAAAUGCGAUAAGUAAUGUGAAUUGCAGAAUUCAGUGAAUCAUCGAAUCUUUGAACGCACAUUGCGCCCGCUGGUAUUCCGGCGGGCAUGCCUGUUCGAGCGUCAUUUCAACCCUCAAGCCCCCGGGUUUGGUGUUGGGGAUCGGCUCUGCCUUACGGCGGUGCCGCCCCCGAAAUACAUUGGCGGUCUCGCUGCAGCCUCCAUUGCGUAGUAGCUAACACCUCGCAGCUAAACGCGGCGCGGCCAUGCCGUAAAACCCCAACUUCUGAAUGUAGACCUCGGAUCAGGUA
rnacentral:rRNA from 1 species